GAUGAACGCUGGCGGCGUGCCUAAUACAUGCAAGUCGAGCGAACAGACGAGGAGCUUGCUCCUCUGACGUUAGCGGCGGACGGGUGAGUAACACGUGGAUAACCUACCUAUAAGACUGGGAUAACUUCGGGAAACCGGAGCUAAUACCGGAUAAUAUAUUGAACCGCAUGGUUCAAUAGUGAAAGACGGUUUUGCUGUCACUUAUAGAUGGAUCCGCGCCGCAUUAGCUAGUUGGUAAGGUAACGGCUUACCAAGGCGACGAUGCGUAGCCGACCUGAGAGGGUGAUGGGCCACACUGGAACUGAAACACGGUCCAGACUCCUACGGGAGGCAGCAGUAGGGAAUCUUCCGCAAUGGGCGAAAGCCUGACGGAGCAACGCCGCGUGAGUGAUGAAGGUCUUCGGAUCGUAAAACUCUGUUAUUAGGGAAGAACAAAUGUGUAAGUAACUAUGCACGUCUUGACGGUACCUAAUCAGAAAGCCACGGCUAACUACGUG
rnacentral:rRNA from 1 species